rnacentral:rRNA from 1 species
AUUGAACGCUGGCGGCAUGCCUUACACAUGCAAGUCGAACGGUAACGGGCCUUCGGGUGCCGACGAGUGGCGAACGGGUGAGUAAUGUAUCGGAACGUACCUUUCAGUGGGGGAUAACGUAGCGAAAGUUACGCUAAUACCGCAUAUUCUGUGCGCAGGAAAGCAGGGGAUCGCAAGACCUUGCGCUGAUUGAGCGGCCGAUAUCAGAUUAGCUAGUUGGUGAGGUAAAGGCUCACCAAGGCGACGAUCUGUAGCGGGUCUGAGAGGAUGAUCCGCCACACUGGAACUGAGACACGGUCCAGACUCCUACGGGAGGCAGCAGUGGGGAAUUUUGGACAAUGGGGGCAACCCUGAUCCAGCCAUGCCGCGUGAGUGAAGAAGGCCUCGGUUGUAAAGCUCUUCGGUCCGGGACGAAAUACGUAUCAGCUAAUA